rnacentral:rRNA from 1 species
ACGGAAGGUCCGAGCGUUAUCCGGAUUUAUUGGGUUUAAAGGGAGCGUAGGCCGUUUGGUAAGCGUGUUGUGAAAUGUCGGGGCUCAACCUGGGCAUUGCAGCGCGAACUGCCAGACUUGAGUGCGCAGGAAGUAGGCGGAAUUCGUCGUGUAGCGGUGAAAUGCUUAGAUAUGACGAAGAACUCCGAUUGCGAAGGCAGCCUGCUGUAGCGCAACUGACGCUGAAGCUCGAAAGCGUGGGUAUCGAACAG